rnacentral:rRNA from 1 species
AGCGAACGCUGGCGGCAGGCUUAACACAUGCAAGUCGAGCGGGCCCUUCGGGGUCAGCGGCGGACGGGUGAGUAACGCGUGGGAACGUGCCUUCUGGUCUGGAAUAACCCUGGGAAACUAGGGCUAAUACCGGAUACGCCCUUUUGGGGAAAGGUUUACUGCCGGAAGAUCGGCCCGCGUCUGAUUAGCUGGUUGGUGGGGUAACGGCCUACCAAGGCGUCGAUCAGUAGCUGGUCUGAGAGGAAGAGCAGCCACACUGGGACUGAGACACGGCCCAGACUCCUACGGGAGGCAGCAGAGGGGAAUGUUGGACAAUGGGCGCAAGGCUGAUCCAGCCAUGCCGCGUGAGUGAUGAAGGCGUUAGGGUUGUAAAGCUCGUUUAUCCGGGACGAUAAUGACGGUACCGGAAGAAUAAGCCCCGGCUAACUUCGUG